GAUGAAGAACGUAGCGAAAUGCGAUAAGUAAUGUGAAUUGCAGAAUUCAGUGAAUCAUCGAAUCUUUGAACGCACAUUGCGCCCGCCAGUAUUCUGGCGGGCAUGCCUGUCUGAGCGUCAUUUCAACCCUCAUGCCCCUAGGGCGUGGUGUUGGGGAUCGGCCAAAGCCCGCGAGGGACGGCCGGCCCCUAAAUCUAGUGGCGGACCCGUCGUGGCCUCCUCUGCGAAGUAGUGAUAUUCCGCAUCGGAGAGCGACGAGCCCCUGCCGUUAAACCCCCAACUUUCCAAGGUUGACCUCAGAUCAGGUAGGAAUACCCGCUGAACUUAAGCAUAUCAAUAAACGGAGGA
rnacentral:misc_RNA from 1 species